UACGUAGGGGGCGAGCGUUGUCCGGAGUUACUGGGCGUAAAGGGCAUGCAGGCGGUCGGACGCGUUUUGUGUGACAGCGGGUGGCUUAACUACCCGAGUAUGCGAAAGACGGUCUGACUUGAGGACUCGAGAGGGACACGGAAUUCCGGGUGGAGUGGUGAAAUGCGUAGAGAUCCGGAGGAACACCGAAGGCGAAGGCAGUGUCCUGGCGAGCGACUGGCGCUGAGAUGCGAAAGCCAGGGGAGCAAACAGG
rnacentral:rRNA from 1 species